rnacentral:rRNA from 1 species
UGGGGAAUAUUGCACAAUGGGCGCAAGCCUGAUGCAGCCAUGCCGCGUGUGUGAAGAAGGCCUUCGGGUUGUAAAGCACUUUCAGCGAGGAGGAAGGUGGUGAGCUUAAUACGCUCAUCAAUUGACGUUACUCGCAGAAGAAGCACCGGCUAACUCCGUGCCAGCAGCCGCGGUAAUACGGAGGGUGCAAGCGUUAAUCGGAAUUACUGGGCGUAAAGCGCACGCAGGCGGUUUGUUAAGUCAGAUGUGAAAAUCCCCGGGCUCAACCUGGGAACUGCAUUUGAAACUGGCAAGCUAGAGUCUCGUAGAGGGGGGUAGAAUUCCAGGUGUAGCGGUGAAAUGCGUAGAGAUCUGGAGGAAUACCGGUGGCGAAGGCGGCCCCCUGGACGAAGACUGACGCUCAGGUGCGAAAGCGUGGGGCAGCAAACAGGAUUAGAUACCCUGGUAGUCCACGCUGUAAACGAUGUCGAUUUGGAGGUUGUGCCCUUGAGGCGUGGCUUCCGGAGCUAACGCGUUAAAUCGACCGCCUGGGGAGUACGGCCGCAAGGUUAAAACUCAAAUGAAUUGC